rnacentral:lncRNA from 11 species
CUAAGUCUAAAACUGAGGGCGGGGGCCAGGUAAAUGACCUUGGAGGGCUGCAUCUGGCCCCCGGGCCUUAGUUUGGGGACCCCUGCUCUGGCUGAAGGGGAACUAUUUUAUUUAUUAUUUAUUUAUUUACAGCAUUUAUAUUCCGGCCUUCUUUCUCACCCUGAAGGGGACUCAGGGCGGAUCACAUUACACAUGUAGGCAAACAUUCAAUGCCUUUUAACAUAGAACAAAGACAAGACAAACAUAGGCUCCGAGCGGGCCUCGAACUCAUGACCUCCUGGUCAGAGUGAUUCAUUGCAGCUGGUUGCAGCUGGCUUGCUCUCCAGCCUGCGCCACAGCCCUUCCAAAAGUAACUAGACCUCCCAAAGUAACUAGAGCACCAGGCCUGGGCCAACUUGGACUUCACCUCCCACCAUUCCUAACAACCGAAGUCCAAAACACCUGGAGGGAGGGCCCAAGUUGGCCCAGGCCUGAUCUAGACCUUCUUAAGGGUCCAGCAGGUGCAGAUCCCAGGCCGCAAAGGACAAGCCCAGAGGAAUAAGAGUGAAGUGUUGUCAAAGGUGUUGUUGAAGGCUUUCAUGGCCAGGGUUGUUGUAUGUUUUCCGGGCUGUAUGGCCAUGUUCUAUCUAGAAGUAUUCUCUCCUGACCUUUCGCCCACAAAAUGUAUGCAUGGUGUUCUUGCCAUACAUCAAGGGAACCACUGACCGCAUAGGCAAACUGAUGAAGAAACACAACCUACAAACCAUCUACAGACCCACAAAGAAAAUCCAACAAAUGCUACGGUCAGCGAAGGACAAGGCAGAAGAAGACAUCUCGUGUGAGGGCAAGGAAGGACAGGCCAGACAGAAGGGGGAACCCAGCCUGGGAAUGGCACCCCAAAAUGGCUGUUUUGUGCUUGAUGUCAUUGUAAGUCUCCCCCAUUUUGCUCCUUUUAAGGAACCCGAAAGUGGAGCCGGUUCAGAUGAAGACAAAGGGUCCAUUGAGGCUCUCCUUGUAUCUCUUCAUUCCAGAUUCAAGGCUGUGAACCAAUUCAAAGACCCUGCAGCCAGGGAACUUCUCGAAGCCAUGCCGGUGCCAGCUGAAGCUUUUGCCCGUCUCUUGCAAGAAAAGGAGCAACGGCAAGCAUCCCAUGAGACAGAAGUGGCCCGUCUCAAGGCUGAGAUUCAGCGGCUGCAGCAGGAGAUCCAGGAGGAAGCCCAAACGCUCCUGGAAGUGGCCCGGCUCAGGGCUGAGAAUCAACAGCUUCGGCAAAAGCUCAAAGACGCCCGGAGAAGCCAGGGGCCAGGAUACUUAACUUCGAUGUUUCCAUGGUCUAAAACAGAUUUCCAUAUCCAGGUCCGUGUCACCGCGAAGACUGGUGGCUGUGAAAAGCAGUUCUUAAAGAAGGUCUCUGACCACCUUUCUGAUCAUCGUAUCAACCUCAAGGUGGAGAAGUACCGAGAGGGCUCCGGCCACUUCCUGGUGGUCUUCUGCCCGGUGCUGUCCCGGGUGGGCACCGACAUGGACAACGCUCUUGAGGGUCUCCAAGGUGAGCCGAAGGCUGUCUUGGUGAUGCUGCAUCACAAACCGAAGGAAUCCAACUACUUUGUGAGCACCAAGUGGCAGGCACAACACCCGGCCGUGGUGCGCACCGUUCACGCUCGCUACACCAUCCACGAAGGCUUCUACGCUUGCCCGAUGAAUGAGGAGGCCGUGGCCAUUGUGGCCGAAGUCCUUGAAGACCACUGCAAAGGGGGGGAGAGAGACCCCGCAAUCCCUGGCGCUCCGUCCAAGUCUCAGAAUCUGUAG